GACGAACGCUGGCGGCGUGCUUAACACAUGCAAGUCGAACGGAAAGGCCCUGCUUUUGUGGGGUGCUCGAGUGGCGAACGGGUGAGUAACACGUGAGUAACCUGCCCUUGACUUUGGGAUAACUUCAGGAAACUGGGGCUAAUACCGGAUAGGAGCUCCUGCUGCAUGGUGGGGGUUGGAAAGUUUCGGCGGUUGGGGAUGGACUCGCGGCUUAUCAGCUUGUUGGUGGGGUAGUGGCUUACCAAGGCUUUGACGGGUAGCCGGCCUGAGAGGGUGACCGGCCACAAUGGGACUGAGAUACGGCCCAGACGCCUACGGGAGGCAGCAGUGGGGAAUAUUGCACAAUGGGCGGAAGCCUGAUGCAGCAACGCCGCGUGCGGGAUGACGGCCUUCGGGGUGUAAACCGCUUUCGCCUGUGACGAAGCGUGAGUGACGGUAAUGGGUAAAGAAGCACCGGCUAACUACGUG
rnacentral:rRNA from 1 species